rnacentral:tRNA from 1 species
GACCACUUAGCUCAGUUGGCAGAGCAUUGGGCUAGCAUUCCAAAGGUCGUAGGUUCGAUUCCCACCGUGGUCA